rnacentral:lncRNA from 1 species
UACUUUGUUAGUCUUGUUGCUAGGAGGCGGGGCUAGAACUGGCUUGUUUCCGUAAGCCACACCUCCUAGCAGGCCAUGCUGGCUUCUGACCGCAAAGGUUGCCAUGCAACCGGGAGCGGCUUUAGGCCUCCUUUUCUUUUGCAUUUCUUCUCCGCGUAUUUCCCCUCCUCUCAGCCCCUUCUUACCGCCGAACUCCUUCUUUAUCACCAUCUAUGCCCUCCCCAUCCCCCUCAGCCUCUUCGGAGUCGUGGAGUGGUGAAACAAAAGACUUCUUCGUUUUUUCUUUUUUUUUUUUUUUUGAGACAGAGUCUUGCUCUGUCGCCCAAGCUGGAGUGCAGUUGCGCGAUCUCGGUUCACUGCAACCUCCGCCUCCCGGGUUCAAGCAAUUCUCCUGCCUCAGCCUCCCGAGUAGCUGGGAUUACAGGGUUGCACCAUGAUGGUGCAUGCCUGGCUAUUUUUUGUAUUUUUAAUAGAGACGGGCGUUUCACCAUGUUGGCCAAGCUGGUCUCGAACUCCUGACCUCAUGAUCCGCCCACCUUGGCCCUCCAAAGUGCUGGGGUUACAGGCGUGAGCCACCGCGCCUGGCCAAGAUUUACUUUUUUCUAAAUGCUAUGCUAUUUGGUAUCGGUCAUGGGGAAUGGAACAGGGGAAGACACCCGAGUUCAGAGCCAGCCUCCAAGAGUAUCUUACAUCCCAGCGUCUCCUGGAAGGCCGUAUGAUCCAGCACUGGGGAGAGGAGGGAAAUCCCCAGGACUCGAAUGCCCAUCCCACCCUUGGUGUAGUGAGGACUCAUCCUGCUGGAAAGGCCCCUGAAGAACUUCAAGUUCCAAUAUCCCGUUUUUACAGAUGGGGAAACUGACAUGAAGAGGAGUCCAAAGUGACACAGUCAGGCCAGAAAUGUUGCUUCUGAAGUCCUGAGUCCACCUCCUAGCACUGCCAAGCAGUCCACCUGGAGGUGAUGAGAACUUCCAGGCUUUGGUAAUGGACAACUCUGUAUCCCUGGAGCCUUCAUUCCUUUUGGCAUUACAGAACCACAAGAAGUCAUCUAGAAUCAUUGAGAUUCUCAACUCCAUUGGGCAAACUGGAACCAGCAAAAUCUCAGAUAUCUAGAAUUGCCACUGCUUCCUUGACUCUGUGAUCAGUCUACAGCCACAGAAUCCUGAUUCCCUUUGGACAUUCUAGAAUGGCACUUUAAAAAAAAACAACCCACCCAGUGGAUCCUUUCAAAGCACUGCUUAUUCUCUUGGCUGGGUGCUCUACAGCCAGAAGUUGGAGUUAUCUAAUAUCAAGAACUCUUAAUCUGUCACUUCAGUCUUUCUAAACCCACAGACUAACAAUGUUUUGUGCAUUCUA